rnacentral:rRNA from 1 species
ACCUACGGGACGCAGCAGUGGGGAAUAUUGGGCAAUGGGCGCAAGCCUGACCCAGCAACGCCGCGUGAAGGAAGAAGGCUUUCGGGUUGUAAACUUCUUUUCUGAGGGACGAUAGUGACGGUACCUCAGGAAUAAGCCACGGCUAACUACGUGCCAGCAGCCGCGGUAAUACGUAGGUGGCGAGCGUUAUCCGGAAUGAUUGGGCGUAAAGGGUGCGUAGGCGGUCGAUUAAGUCUGGAGUGAAAGGUACCGGCUCAACCGGUAUAGGCUCCGGAAACUGAUGGACUGGAGUACAGGAGAGGGUG